AGGAGAAACCUUCUCGCCCUAAAAGUCACGAGAGUCUUGUAAAUGAAAUUGAGCAAGCCGUGCAAGAGACGGUGGAUGUGGAAGCCUACGUGAGAAGGCGGCAGGCCCAGCCUGCUUCCAGGAGCCAUCGGGAGGCCCAGCGGCCUGAAUUAUCUGAAAAAUUCUAAGCAGGGCAGACGUUUCAGGUGCCAGUGGGCGUUGUGGCUGCUUCAAGCAUGUUGUACCUUUUGCGGAAGAGAAGAGGUUCCCUCUGAGGGGAAAACAGCAUGAUGUCUACGCCGUGGCUAUGCUCUACUGAGGAUUUU